rnacentral:rRNA from 1 species
UACGGGGGGGGCAAGCGUUGUUCGGAAUUACAGGGCGUAAAGGGCUUGUAGGUGGCCAACUAAGUCAGACGUGAAAUCCCUCGGCUUAACCGGGGAACUGCGUCUGAUACUGGCGAUCUCGAGUUCGGGAGAGGUGAGUGGAACUGCGAGUGUAGAGGUGAAAUUCGUAGAUAUUCGCAAGAACACCGGUGGCGAAGGCGGGUCUCUGGGCCGUAACUGACGCUGAGGAGCGAAAGCAUGGGGAGCGAACAGG